rnacentral:misc_RNA from 1 species
AAACUCUUGCCAACUGUAGCUUGGUUGGGGUUCAGUGUUAUUGUCUGGAACGAUGCUGUGUUGGAGGAAAAGCAUUUGUAGGACUGGCACCAAUCAGCUGGGACUAGAAUCUAAUAAGUUGAGUUAUGUUACUAUGCUGUAACCUAGGAAGCAUGGAUACAAUGCAAGAAUGAAUAAAUGACACCAUAUUAAUGCUUCUGUAUGAUAAUCUUUAAAUAGCUGGGACACAAUAUAUUGGAUACGCUAAUAAAUAAUAUAUGUU